ensembl:lncRNA
CAAGAAUUCCAGACGCACAGCCUACGCUGAUCCGCUGACCUCCAGAUCCGCUGCUGCUGUCCAGUGCACUCAAACACUCACUGCUCGUCUGCUUUACCCGCCGCUAACAGCACUGACAGCACCGCCACAGCCAUGCCCAGAGCCCGACUCCAUCAGGGCCGGUAGUUUUCGUCUGCAAGCGCUCCCUCUUCUGUGUGUGUGUGUGUGCGUGCUUUGAGAUGGAGGCAGAAGCAAAGCCCCCAGUAACGGUGGCCGGGCCCUCCAGGAUGUGGUGUGGGAAAAGGAGCAGAAAAGUUGGCGUGGCCAAUAUAUUUAUGGGCGUGUCCGUGCGUGAGCUGCAGCACCUGUUUCGCUCGUCAGGCGAUGAGGAGGCGGAGCAACGAGCACAGGUGGUGUGGGGGAGGGGCGAACAAUCUGAACUCGCCCAGGCGCUCAUGGGAUUGCGUGCUAGGGGUCGGAAAAACAGAAUCUCUCGUCACACAAUCGCCCCCCGCUGGUUACGAGCCUUUGGACACCUCAGGAUCGGUGAGAGUGCUUCGGGUCGAGACGCCCAGGAGGAUGAGGAGCGUGAGGCCCGGAAAAACUCCAGUGGAGAGGCAGCACAAACUCACGCUCAGACACACACACACGGUCAGACACACACACACGCUGCGGGGAGCAGAGAGGGGGAGGUCAGUGGAGAUGAGACUCAUCCGGGGAGGGGCACCCAGCCGGCCAUCUCCCUCACCAGCAGAGUGGGCUUAGCACUGCGCAGGGGGGGCCAGAGCGACCCAGAGCGCUACCUCCACCGUAUCAUACACUAACACACACACACACACACACAUCGCAUUAUACACUAACACACUUACACAUACACACUGCAUUAUACACUAACACACUUACACAUAUACACUGCAUUAUACACUAACACACACACACAUACACACUGCAUUAUACACUAAACACACACACACACACACACACUGCAUCAUACACUAACACACUAACAUACUCACCUCACAUUAUACACUAGCACAGACUGCUUCAUACACUUACACACAAAAACAUCACAUUAUACACUAACACACACACUGCAUCAUACACUUCACACUUACACACACAUAUCACAUUUUACACUCUCACACACACACACACAUCGCAUCAUACAUUAACACACACACACACACAAUCGCAUCAUACACUAACACAAACACGUACACACAUCGCAUUAUACACUAACACACACACUGCAUUAUACACUAACACACACUGCAUUAUACACUUACACACACGUGCACCACAUCAUACACUAACACAUUUACACACACAUCGCAUUAUACACUCACAGACACACAGCAUUAUACACUAAUACACACACACACGUGCGCGCACCACAUCAUACAUUACCACAUAUACACACAUUACCACAUAUACACACAUUAUACUCUAACACACUUAUACACACACAUCGCAUUAUCCACUCUCAUACACACACAACGCAUUAUACACAAACACACACACAACAUCAUACACUAACACACACACACACAAUAUCAUACACUAACACAACACACAGCAUCACACAGUAACUCUCCAACACAUUGCAUCAUACACUAACAUUCCAACACACAGCAUUAUACACUAAUAAACACACACACACACACA